GAUGAACGCUGGCGGCGUGCCUAAUACAUGCAAGUCGAGCGAACAGACGAGGAGCUUGCUCCUCUGACGUUAGCGGCGGACGGGUGAGUAACACGUGGAUAACCUACCUAUAAGACUGGGAUAACUUCGGGAAACCGGAGCUAAUCCCGGAUAAUAUAUUGAACCGCAUGGUUCAAUAGUGAAAGACGGUUUUGCUGUCACUUAUAGAUGGAUCCGCGCCGCAUUAGCUAGUUGGUAAGGUAACGGCUUACCAAGGCAACGAUGCGUAGCCGACCUGAGAGGGUGAUCGGCCACACUGGAACUGAGACAGGGUCCAGACUCCUACGGGAGGCAGCAGUAGGGAAUCUUCCGCAAUGGGCGAAAGCCUGACGGAGCAACGGCGCGUGAGUGAUGAAGGUCUUCGGAUCGUAAAACUCUGUUAUUAGGGAAGAACAAAUGUGUAAGUAACUAUGCACGUCUUGACGGUACCUAAUCAGAAAGCCACGGCUAACUACGUG
rnacentral:rRNA from 1 species